rnacentral:rRNA from 1 species
AUUGAACGCUGGCGGCAUGCCUUACACAUGCAAGUCGAACGGUAACAGGUCUUCGGAUGCUGACGAGUGGCGAACGGGUGAGUAAUACAUCGGAACGUGCCCAGACGUGGGGGAUAACGAGGCGAAAGCUUUGCUAAUACCGCAUACGAUCUAAGGAUGAAAGCAGGGGACCGCAAGGCCUUGCGCGUUUGGAGCGGCCGAUGGCAGAUUAGGUAGUUGGUGGGAUAAAAGCUUACCAAGCCGACGAUCUGUAGCUGGUCUGAGAGGACGACCAGCCACACUGGACUGAGACACGGCCCAGACUCCUACGGGAGGCAGCAGUGGGGAAUUUUGGACAAUGGGCGAAAGCCUGAUCCAGCAAUGCCGCGUGCAGGAUGAAGGCCUUCGGGUUGUAAACUGCUUUUGUACGGAACGAAAAGGCUCUGGCUAAUACCUGGGGCACAUGACGGUACCGUAAGAAUAAGCACCGGCUAACUACGUG